rnacentral:lncRNA from 1 species
CUGUUUCCUCAGCAUGAUCGCUUUCGUUUUGAAAGACUCGGUAAGUCAGUGAUUUGAUACCCGGUACUUUACCUUGUCCCCGGCGAAGUCUUCAGCAGAAUUGUCGCUAUCUCUCCAUCAAAGUUGUUCUCUUCAGCAGAGCAGGAUUUAUUUUCCUACUCAGCGGUUGAUUUGGGUUAACAUCCCAGUAUUGCAUCCAUCUUUUCCUCAGCUUAGUCUGCAGAAUGUUUGUUGUGGCAGUUUCG